rnacentral:rRNA from 1 species
UACGUAGGGUGCGAGCGUUGUCCGGAAUUAUUGGGCGUAAAGAGCUCGUAGGCGGUCUGUCGCGUCGAUCGUGAAAACUUGGGGCUUAACCCUGAGCUUGCGGUCGAUACGGGCAUGACUGGAGUUCGGCAGGGGAGACUGGAAUUCCUGGUGUAGCGGUGAAAUGCGCAGAUAUCAGGAAGAACACCCGUGGCGAAAGCGGCUCUCUGGAACGGUACUGACGCUGAGACGCGAAAGCGUGGGGAGCGAACAGG